UUUAUUAUAGUGUUAAAAAAGCACAUAAAAAUUUGAUUUUUAAAGUGAUGAAUUCAUCUAAUAAAG
rnacentral:tRNA from 1 species